rnacentral:rRNA from 1 species
CCUACGGGCGGCUGCAGUGAGGAAUAUUGGUCAAUGGGUGCGAGCCUGAACCAGCCAAGUAGCGUGAAGGAUGACUGCCCUACGGGUUGUAAACUUCUUUUAUAAAGGAAUAAAGUGAGGCACGUGUGCCUUUUUGUAUGUACUUUAUGAAUAAGGAUCGGCUAACUCCGUGCCAGCAGCCGCGGUAAUACGGAGGAUCCGAGCGUUAUCCGGAUUUAUUGGGUUUAAAGGGAGCGUAGAUGGGUUGUUAAGUCAGUUGUGAAAGUUUGCGGCUCAACCGUAAAAUUGCAAUUGAUACUGGCGGUCUUGAGUACAGUUGAGGUAGGCGGAAUUCGUGGUGUAGCGGUGAAAUGCUUAGAUAUCACGAAGAACUCCGAUUGCGAAGGCAGCUUACUAAACUGCCACUGACAUUGAUGCUCGAAAGUGUGGGUAUCAAACAGGAUUAGAUACCCUGGUAGUC